CUUAUCGAUUGUGCUGACGGUCCCUCGCAAGAGGGUUUUGAAGGGAAUGCGGUUUAACUCCGCAGCUGCCCCCGCAACUGUAGGCGGCGAGCACAUGGCAAAAGUACCACUGGGAAAUCCCGGGAAGGUUGCCAGAUGCCGCGACCCGCGAGCCAGGAAACCUGCCGUCAGACAGCCAACUCGA
rnacentral:ncRNA from 23 species